UCCCUGGUGGUCCAGUUGCUAAGACUCUGCGUUCCCAAUGCAGUGGCCCAGUUUGAUUCCUGGUCAGGGUG
rnacentral:tRNA from 1 species